UGUAUGGUUGUUGUUCUCAUAUCUUUCACCAUUAUUGGUCAUGAUAAAACAUUUUCAUGACCUCUGUUGUACAGAUUUGGGAAAUGUGGACUAUCAAUCCUACACGUACCAUACAACUUUCCACAAAAACAUGAUUUUAACAGAAAUAUUCUCACUUCUUUUUGAGUCUGACUGAACGUAAACAGGAAGUAUAACCACAUAGCAUACCAGCUGUACUUGCUUACACGCUCAAAUACUGUACUUCAUUCGAGUAUUUCCAUGGUAUGUUACUUUAAACGUAUACUCAACAAUGUUAAUAUUUCUGAGGGCAAUAUUUUUUACUCCACUACAUUUAUUUGUCACUUUACUAAUUAACAUUUUUCAUACACAACAUGUCAUCAUCUUUUAAACGAUGGUGUAUUAAACUUGUUUCGUGGUGACUUGUCGUCGCUCGUAUUUUAUUGUUUAUUGUGA